GACGAACGCUGGCGGCGUGCUUAACACAUGCAAGUCGAACGGAAAGGCCCUGCUUUUGUGGGGUGCUCGAGUGGCGAACGGGUGAGUAACACGUGAGUAACCUGCCCUUGACUUUGGGAUAACUUCAGGAAACUGGGGCUAAUACCGGAUAGGAGCUCCUGCUGCAUGGUGGGGGUUGGAAAGUUUCGGCGGUUGGGGAUGGACUCGCGGCUUAUCAGCUUGUUGGUGGGGUAGUGGAUUACCAAGGCUUUGACGGGUAGCCGGCCUGAGAGGGUGACCGGCCACAUUGGGACUGAGAUACGGCCCAGACUCCUACGGGAGGCAGCAGUGGGGAAUAUUGCAAAGUGGGCGGAAGCCUGAUGCAGCAACGCCGCGUGCGGGAUGACGGCCUUCGGGUUGUAAACCGCUUUCGCCUGUGACGAGGCGUGAGUGACGGUAAUGGGUAAAGAAGCACCGGCUAACUACGUG
rnacentral:rRNA from 1 species